rnacentral:rRNA from 1 species
AGGUCACUGCUAUCGGUGUCCGAUUAAGCCAUGCGAGUCGUGAGGGGUUAAGCCCUCGGCAUACUGCUCAGUAACACGUGGAUAAUCUACCCAAAGGUCUGGGAUAACCCCGGGAAACUGGGGAUAAGACGGGAUAGGCCAAUACGUCUGGAAUGUGUGUUGGCUGAAAGGUAACGCCUUUGGAUGGGUCUGCGGCGGAUUAGGUAGACGCCGGUGUAACGUACCGGCGUGCCUGUAAUCCGUACGGGUUGUGGGAGCAAGAGCCCGGAGAUGGAUUCUGAGACACGAAUCCAGGCCCUACGGGGCGCAGCAGGCGCGAAAACUCUACAAUGCAGGCAACUGCGAUAGGGGGACAUCGAGUGGCACCCACCUUGGGUGUCUGUCCAACCGUCUAAAAAACGGUUGUUAGCAAGGGCCGGGUAAGACCGGUGCCAGCCGCCGCGGUAAUACCGGCGGCUCGAGUGGUGGCCGAUAUUAUUGAGUCUAAAGGGUCCGUAGCCGGCUUUGCAAGUCCUCUGGGAAAUCCAGCGGCUUAACCGUUGGGCUUCCAUGGGAAACUACAUUGCUUGGGACUGGGAGAGGUAGGAGGUACUCGAGGGGUAGGGGUGAAAUCCUGUAAUCCUUCGGGGACCACCGGUGGCGAAGGCGUCCUACCAGAACAGGUCCGACGGUGAGGGACGAAAGCUAGGGGCACGAACCGGAUUAGAUACCCGGGUAGUCCUAGCCGUAAACGAUGCCCGCUAGGUGUCACGGCGGUCGUGAAUCGCCGUGGUGCCGUAGGGAAGCCGCGAAGCGGGCCACUUGGGAAGUACGGCCGCAAGGCUGAAACUUAA